ACAGAAGCAGGAAACAUCAAAAAUCACUGUUAACCGUAGAGCAUCGGUUUACAAUUCUUGCAAAAAUCAAGUUAUGAUUUAUGUGUAUGUUGUUAUAAAAACAAUCAAACAGACAUAAAUGUAAUCUGUUAAACUCAGUCUAUUUUGCAUUCAAACAUUGCUUUAAAUAAAGAGACAGGUGAUUUAUUUGAGCAGAGCUUGUUUUCUGCCUCCACUAUUUGGAAAGUCUAAUACGAAAAUACUAAUAAAUAUAUAUAUACUAUUUUAUAUUAAACAAAACAACUGCUGCAAUCUCCUUAUGAUUUAUUGUGCCUUAAUUUACUAUUAAUUUCAUUCAUAAUUAUUCACUUACUGAACGCUAUUAUAAAAGUAUAUACGUUUGUUUAUGUUAAAUAAAAGAUAAACAUGAGAAAAGAGUCGUAUCUUCCCUUAAAAUGCAUCUUGAACAAUCGGGUCCCACCUAGCGAGGACCCCUAAGAUGGCGGCCAUCGCGAUGCCUGUGCGCAAGUCGCAACGGAUGCACUUGUCACGAAGGACACAAGACAGAAGCUCUGUCCCGAGACGCUCUCGAGUUACGUUGAGACUGAGGAUUCCCCAAUCUUCCACAAUGGACUUCACAUAGGAUGAACUGUUUCCAGUUUCAGCAAAACAGCAAGAAUUUAUGAAUGGAUGACUGCACCUUAGCACUCUUCACUCCCACUGCAUGCCUCACCUGGGCCACAGAGAAAACAAUGUUGCUGCCUGUACAUGGCACAUUUAACCUCUAACCUUACAGCUGAAUGUUCAGACUGAAUAUACAGAGGAGAACUGGUCCCCAGUGUUUUUGGUUAGUCUGGUUUCUCCAAAGGUUUUUUUUACUCCAGUAUCGACAUCUUACAGUUUUUUCUUAAUUAACCCCUGUUGCCUUUGGCUUGCUUGCUGUAUGUAUGACGACUAAUGCAUUUAACACCAACUAUUAAAACAGUGAGGGUGUUUUUGACCACAUAGACACAAUAGUAUGUCUUUCUGUAAAAAUUAUUUGAAAAUGUUAUGCAUUUUGAAAAAUGUAUAAAUGUCUUACAUAGAUAGUGUGCAUAUUGCUUGAACAUUUAUAUGUAAAAACAAAAACAGAAUCAUUAUAUUAUAAUUGCAAAUUAUAAUUAUAUAGCAAUUAUUGCUAUCUAUAUAAACUAUCUAGCUGUAUUUUUAGUUACUUUCAGUGCACAAACAACCAUUAUUCACUUACUAUACUUAAUGGUAGAAAUAUAAUAGGCAUACUGACAUACUUCAUGUAAAAUUAAUAUAACAUUCAUUUUACAUAAAAUAAUAAUAUAUCUGUAUAUAAUACAACAAUAACACGGUUCUGCACAAGCAAUUGCGAUAUUAUAUCAUUUAGAUUAACAAUAUAAAUUUACACACACACAUCGAGUAGCUGUAUGCUAUGCUGAUACGCGAGUAACAAAAAAAAAAAAAAAAA